UACGUAGGGUGCGAGCGUUAAUCGGAAUUACUGGGCGUAAAGCGUGCGCAGGCGGUCUGUUAAGACCGAUGUGAAAUCCCCGGGCUUAACCUGGGAACUGCAUUGGUGACUGGCAGGCUUUGAGUGUGGCAGAGGGAGGUAGAAUUCCACGUGUAGCAGUGAAAUGCGUAGAGAUGUGGAGGAACACCGAUGGCGAAGGCAGCCUUCUGGGCCAACACUGACGCUCAUGCACGAAAGCGUGGGGAGCAAACAGG
rnacentral:rRNA from 1 species